rnacentral:rRNA from 1 species
UCGGAACGUGCCCUGGGAGUGGGGGAGUAACGCAGCGAAAGUUGCGCUAAUACCGCAUACGAUCUAAGGAUGAAAGCAGGGGACCGCAAGGCCUUGUGCUCCUGGAGCGGCCGAUAUCUGAUUAGCUAGUUGGUGGGGUAAAGGCCUACCAAGGCAUCGAUCAGUAGCUGGUCUGAGAGGACGACCAGCCACACUGGAACUGAGACACGGUCCAG